CUGGGGCUACUGCGCAUGGGCGAAGCCUGACGCACGACGCCGCGUGAGGGAUGACGGCCAUCGGGAUGUAAACAUAAAUCAGAUCCGACGAGGCGGAUAUGAUGGUAGGAGCAGAGGAGGCACCGGCCAAAUACAUGCCAGCAGCCGCGGUACUACGUAGGGUGCAAGCGUUGUCCGGAAUUCCUGGGCGUAAAGAGCUCGUAGCGGUCUGUCGCGUCGGCUGUGAAAACUCGGGGCUCAACUCCGAGCUCUGCACUCGCUACGGGCAGGCUAGACCUCGGCAGGGGAGACUGGAACUCCUGGUGUAGCGGUGAAAUGCGCAAUAUCAGGAGGAACACCGGUGGCGAAGCGGGUCUCUUGGGCCGAUACUGACGCUUGAGGAGCGAAAGCGUGGGGAGCGAACAGGAUUAGAUACCCUGGUAUUCCACGCCGUAACCUUGGGCGCUAGGUGUGGGAUCCCCUCCACGGGUUUCCGUGCCGCACUAACGCAUUAAGCGCCCCGCCUGGGGAGUACGGCCGCAGGCUAAAACU
rnacentral:rRNA from 1 species